rfam:Papio anubis isolate 1X1155 chromosome 1, whole genome shotgun sequence.
GGUGGAGUGGCUAAAUGCAUGGCUCCCAGAGAGGGACAUGCUGGGUUCGAAUCCUGCCUCUACCG